AUGGCUGCGUGGUUCAUCCGUUGAUUUUAGUUGUUUUUGGGAGUGGCCUGACACUGCGGAAGGACUGAGAGGCGUUCCGAGCUCCAGGGACAUGUAGCGAUCCACAAACAACAGUUUCCAAGGAAUCCGUGUGCGACAAGUACAAAUUUACCAUAAUCUUUCUGUAUACGUUAGACUUGUGCAGUGAGAUGUUCUGUGUAGCUGUAAGAUGCUAACGCUGUGUCUGUGUGUCCCUGUCUGAGUGGAGAGGAGACAAAUCCUCUUUUGGGAAUUGUGCUGGAGGCCACCACUGGCAAAAUCAGGGUGACUGCUGGGACGCGUCACGUCUGAUGGCAGGAACCUUUCUGGCAUUUGCUGUUGGCCAAUAAGGUGGCAAAAUGGUACCUUCCCAAAUGAGUAACCUGAAGGAGAAUGCUGGUCAACAGAGUGAUGAAGCUCUCCCAAUACCAACAAAGCUGGAUAAACCAUACAAAUGUGAUCAGUGUGAGAAAGGUUUCAGAUGGUCAUCACACCUGAAACACCAAGCCAGC